GGAAGUAAAAGUCGUAACAAGGUUUCCGUAGGUGAACCUGCGGAAGGAUCAUUACCGAGUGAGGGCCCUCUGGGUCCAACCUCCCACCCGUGUUUAUUUUACCUUGUUGCUUCGGCGGGCCCGCCUUAACUGGCCGCCGGGGGGCUUACGCCCCCGGGCCCGCGCCCGCCGAAGACACCCUCGAACUCUGUCUGAAGAUUGUAGUCUGAGUGAAAAUAUAAAUUAUUUAAAACUUUCAACAACGGAUCUCUUGGUUCCGGCAUCGAUGAAGAACGCAGCGAAAUGCGAUACGUAAUGUGAAUUGCAAAUUCAGUGAAUCAUCGAGUCUUUGAACGCACAUUGCGCCCCCUGGUAUUCCGGGGGGCAUGCCUGUCCGAGCGUCAUUGCUGCCCUCAAGCACGGCUUGUGUGUUGGGCCCCGUCCUCCGAUCCCGGGGGACGGGCCCGAAAGGCAGCGGCGGCACCGCGUCCGGUCCUCGAGCGUAUGGGGCUUUGUCACCCGCUCUGUAGGCCCGGCCGGCGCUUGCCGAUCAACCCAAAUUUUUAUCCAGGUUGACCUCGGAUCAGGUAGGGAUACCCGCUGAACUUAAGCAUAUCAAUAAGCGGAGGAA
rnacentral:rRNA from 1 species